AAAUGCCCCAUAGCUCAGUGGUAGAGCGGGUCGGCUGUGAACUGAAUUUGUCUUUGGUCCGAUUCCGGAUAAUUUG
rnacentral:tRNA from 1 species